AGUGUGUAUAUAUGUGUGUGUGUGUGUAUGUGUGUGUACAUUUAUAUACACACACAUGCAAACAGUUCCUGGAAGAGAACUCUGAAUGCUUUGCUAGCAAAACACUGUGGUGUGCAAACCUAGAACUCAAUAGAAAAAAAAGCCAUUUAUCUGAAGGCUGCGUAGUGGAGAGAGUCUUCAGUUUACCUCAUUCUUUGUAGCAGCCCUUGAUUUUAACAGGUUUUUGUAAUAGGUACAAAUAAUCCCAUACCUUUCUAAGUCCAACUUUAAGUUAAGCUAAAAUUCUUUAUAGGGUUAAUUUAUUUGUAUAUGAUUGUAGAAGGUAAGGUCAUGUAAAACAUUAUAAUUUGGGGAAUCUGACACUAUUUAAAUUAUUGGCAACUGUUGUCUGUUGUACAAAGGCUCUCUUUUUCUACUGGAUCAGUCUGUUACAUGAAUAAUGCAUUUUCUGCACUUAAGCACACAAAGUUCACUACUAAUAUCAGUUUAUAAUAUUUUGGCUAUCUACAACACUAACUUUGCUCUGCUGUAAAAACAAAAUUUGUGUUCUUUUCAUCUGUAUGCAGUAUUAACACAUCUCCUUUACCAAAAACCUGAGCAAUACAACAUUUUCUUUAUGUGCUAUAUGCCUUUGUUUGCUAAAAGCUAACAUUUUUGUAUUUACUUUAAAGGGCUGUACUAAACCCACAGCUUUACGUUUUCUCCUAGAAGCAUUGCAGCUAACCUUUGAUUCCGUAAUAGUUUUUAAAUACUGUAUUUCUCUUCUCCACGUUUCUAUGCUUUCAUAUCAGUGCUUAGCUGUCAUUCCAGGUGAACACUAUAGAUGGCCUCCUGUUUGAAAUGUGGGGCAGGAGGUUCUUUCUUGGCAACGGAGCUGAGUUUUUCUUCUCUUAGUGAAGUGGCAACCCAGAUGUCGCCAUCCAGUAGAGUUAGAGCCCCAAGUAGUCCAUGCUUCACACAAAGAGAAAUGAAUGCACAGUUUUUUGAAAACUCAAUUAUAAAUUAUAAAAUGAUCACUUCUGGGAUGGGGCUGCCUCUUCAGAUAUUCAAAGAAUAAAAUGGAGGAGCCUGACGUGUUUCACACUGGCGUGUUUGACGUUCAUAUAUCUUACUGUUAACUCAGCAGUAUUUUAUCGUGAAAGAAAACCCCAGUGUCUCGGCUCACUCAGGAGUCAGCAGAAGAGGUGAACCACCACUGUGGUGCCUUCCUUGAGUGUUCCGGGGGAAUGUCACACCUUUCCUUCCCAGGGUCAAAGAAACCUUUGGGAAAUGACUGAAGAAGACCGUUUUCCCCCAAGUAUUAUCAUGUCUAGUUAAUUCUGAGAAAACCACUGGAUGUGUUCUAUGGACAUUUGGGAUUGCAGUUCCCAUUGUGAUUUGAUUGGUCCUCAGUCAAAUGGACCACUUGGAAGGAAAGUUUUGGUUGUCACCAUUAAUACCACUGAGAUAAAGUGUUAGCAAAGUAUGAUUCAAAUUAAUUUAUGAUAUGACCAAGAGCUUUUCUCUUCCAAAAGAUGAAUUUUAUUGUAAAUAGUUUCUCAAAAUAUUUUUAACUGGAUCAUGAGCAUGGGGAGAGAAAGUUUCUCAGCUGCUAAGAAUUUCCCCACUGUUUACUUCUUUCACUUACAGUGGUAUUACAUAUAAGGUUACAAAAUGUAAGGUUUUAUUUGUAUCUAUUACCAAACCAUUAAACUGUCGUUAAUUUCAUCAUUGUCUUGGAGGUCCAGUGCACAAGGGCUGCUAGGGGAACCCUCCCUCUAACCAGUCGAGCACUCUAACCCAGGAUUGAGACUGUCCCAUCAAGUAGUAUGUGAAGUCAAAUCUUCGUACUCUUCCAGACCAAACAAUGAAAUGGAUUCAUUCAUUUAAUUCUAUAAAUCCUAGUGUGCGCAUUCUUCUCAGACCUAAGAACAUCACUGUAAAAUCUGCUGAAGACUAUUUAUAGGUUUUAUUUGCACAAGACUUAAUUAGUUUGAAAUUUUUGGAAGCUCCUAUUGAACAUGCUUAAACAUCUGUAAACAUGAAAAAUCUUCGAUUCAUUAAAAGCAAACAUUUCAGUAUGAUUCUUUCCAAAGGAGCCUCAUGGGAAGUAUGAAGAUAAAGACAAGAUAGGAUUUGGACAUCCUUGAGUUCUGGAUUGUGAAGGCAUCUUUUCUUCCUUGGGUGGCCAGUCAUCCCCAUUUGCCUGAGACUGAGGGGCUCCCUGGGACAUGAGACUUUCAGUGCUGUAACUGGGAAAGUUCCCGGCAAAAGGGAUGAGCUGAUCACCGUAUCUUCACACCAUCCAAAUCUAUCCCGAGGAGGAGAUAACAACGGGAUGACAUUUUCAAGCACAUUCAAGUGUGCUGCAAGUCAGCCUCACUUCCACUCACAGACUUACGACCGCCCGAGAUUAAAUUUCAAGAAGAGAUUUCUCAUGAGACCCAUGAGAUUGUAGAGCUGGAUGAAAUCCAAAAGAGCAUGUCCAGUUAACAUUUUUCCAGGUGAAGAAAAUGAAGGUCAAGGCUACAGAAAAGCACACCGACUUCCCCAGAGUCACACAACCGGCAGAGCACUCGACCCAGGAGAAAACGCCUUUGACAAGAGUCCUUGGGCAGUUGACCCAGGACAGCUGUUCCUCUUCUGCAGCCAUCUCAACCAGACUUCCUUCAGCUGAUCUCCGUCUACUUCGAUCCAUCCAAAUAACAUCUGCCUAAAAUAAUCUUAACACGAAAGCAUAUCGUUUUUGUAAGUUCCUGGCAUUCCUGCUCUGCAGAAUGAGGUCCCAUCUUCUUUAACAUAGCUUCAUGAUCUGGCUUCAGUCUGCCUCUUCAGUCUUUUCUUCCCACCACUGUAUCUAUUUUGUUUUUGUAGUUUUUUUUUUAAACCAUUG